rnacentral:rRNA from 1 species
UACGGAGAGUGCAAGCGUUAUCCGGAUUCACUGGGUUUAAAGGGUGCGUAGGAGGUCAGGGAAGUCAGUGGUGAAAUCUGUGGGCUUAACCCACAAACUGCCGUUGAUACUCUCUGUCUUGAAUAUUGUGGAGGUGAGCGGAAUAUGUCAUGUAGCGGUGAAAUGCUUAGAUAUGACAUAGAACACCAAUUGCGAAGGCAGCUCGCUACACAUAUAUUGAUUCUGAGGCACGAAAGCGUGGGGAUCAAACAGG